rnacentral:rRNA from 1 species
GACAGAGGUGCCGAGCGUUAGGCGGAAUCACUGGGCUUAAAGCGUGUGUAGGCGGAUCUGUAAGUACCUUGUGAAAUCCCACGGCUCAACCGUGGAACUGCUUGGUAUACUGCGGGUCUUGAGCCACCUAGGGGCAAGUGGAACAAGCGGUGGAGCGGUGAAAUGCGUAGAUAUCGCUUGGAACGCCAAUGGUGAAAACAACUUGCUGGGGGUGUGCUGACGCUGGAGACACGAAAGCCAGGGGAGCAAACGGG